CUCCCAGGUGUGUGCCUCCACACCGAGCUCGGACAGUCUGAGAAUGAACCCAGGGAUUCGUAGAUAAACACUCUUCGACUGAGCUGUACACCAUUUGUUUCUGUUUUUAAAGCAGGGUCUUACUCUGUAGCCUACACUGAUCUGGAACUCGUGGUGAUCCUCCUGUCUUAGCUCUUAAAGUGUUUGGAUUUCAGGUGAACAUUACCAUCUUUGAACAACUGUUCUACUUGUUUGCAGAUUUAUGUGAUUUGCCUUCUCCACCGGGAUGUAAUCGCCAGGCUUUUGCCCUUCCUUUGGGACAGUGCCGGGCAUGCAGUAGGUGCGCAGUAGUACUUGUGGGAGAACUGAAUUCCAGGCGUGGCUCAGGAGAGGAAACUGAGACCAAGGGAAGAGAGGCACUUGGUUCUGGGAAGCACAGUCAUCUGCUUGUUGGGGCUGUCGUGAGAACGGUGGGAAGAACUUAAGUGAGCGUCUAGAAACGCAAUGAAGAUAGGAGUGAGAACAGAAAAAGAGAAUGUGGCAGACCCAAGCCUUCUGUUACGUGAGCUGACAAACUGUUCAAUUAAACCAGCCCUUGCCACUCUGACACUAAAUACCCAGGGGAUGGCAAUGAAAUGGGAUUUGUUAAUUUCAUCAAAACUGGAAAUCUU